CUUGGGUGCUGGGAAGAGGCACAUGUCACACGUGCAAGAAGGUCCAAGGAUGAGAUUAAAAAUUCCACAAAGGUCCAAAUUCUAGGGCCCAGACAGAAGAGAAGAGUCACAUCAUCUAGAUGAUGAAUGAAAAGAUAUGUCAUUAUUCUCCUUUGGGCAGUGCUUCUGCAGAAAAGUUGCACCUUCUAGGUGUUGGACUCAGCAAUAUAUCACAAUGUCUGCAGUAUUUUGGAAGGAGAGGAGAGUCACCAUUACUUAGACCUUGGCUUUUCUACCCCAAUUCAAGAAGUCACUUCUUCAGUCAACCAAACCAAUUACAAAAUUGUGUUCCAAUGUCACAUGUUCAAAAAUAAACAGUUCCUGAAA
rnacentral:lncRNA from 1 species